UACCACUUUUCAUGAAUUUGAUGUGGAUAAGUAUUUUGGGGAUGUUUAAUUUGAAUUUGUGCUUUACUUCUUUGAAGUUGGGUUAUGAAAGAAAGAGGAAAAAUGGAAAAUUUUGAUAAAAAGGGUUUUUUUAGGGAUUUCUAUCAAUUAGGUGGAUGUAUUGUUGAAUUGUAUAAGUUGAAAGAGUUAGACUUUACUCCGAAUUCUGGAUAAGUAGUUCGAUUAAUUUCGAACAUAAGUGAGGAGUAUUGAAAUAAGUUGCUAAACAAUUCUUCGGAUUAUUGAUGGACAUAUAUGGUAUCCUUGUAGCUAGUGAAUUGAUCAGAUAGAAGGAAUUAGUGGUUGGUAAGAUAAAGGUUGCACGCUCGUUGGUUGAAUCACUUGGGGCUCGAAUUACUAUCAUAGUUAAUAAAGCAAUAAGGCUCCGAUCCUCCUGAUCGCAGACAUCCACGUUAGGCUCUAUUGCCAUUUUCAGCGGAUAUUUUGGUACAUGGAAACAACGUGCAGAUGUAGAGUAUAAGGCUCCGAUCCUCCUGAUCGCAGACAUCCACGUUAGGCUCUAUUACCGUUUUCAGCUGAUAUUUUGGUGAGCUCCAACUCUCUCUGGAGCCAGUCUAUGCCUAAUAUUUUUUAUUAUAUGUACAGGUUUCUGGUUGGGCAUGACGGGCCGGAUACCAACUGGUCACUUGUAGUAUAGUGUGUUAAACUAACUAGAGGCUUCAUGGACAUCGUGUAGUAUUGUAUAGUUUUGUUAAUGUAAAUCCCUCGUGUAUAUAUGCAACUCUUAUUGAAUACCUUGCUCUUUAUUAUUCCAUAACCUCGCGUACGUCACAGAGUGCUUGUAGAAUGUGUGUAUACGAUUCUUGUUCGUCCUUAAUUUGGGGCGUGACAUCAACAUUGAUUUAAUAUUUUUGUCCAAGUAGAAAUCUAUGCUUAUAGGAUAUGAAGUUGGGUUGGUUCCU